AAAAAGCAUAAAAAAAUUGAUUUCUUUUAAUAAGCUAAAAAUAUUUUUCAUAACUACUGGGUACGCAUUUCUUUUGUGCUGUUUCUCUACAUCACUCUAGUAUGGCUAAAAAAAACAUAGUACAGAGUAUUUAUAAUACAUGUAUAUUCAUUUUUUUUUAAUUUUAAUUUAUUUUUUUCCCUAUAAAAAGAAAGACAACCCUUUUUUUCUUCAAAAUUUCAUAAUAUUUUCAUGACCAAUGAAUGAGAAAACAUAUAACAGUAUAGUUUUUCAUGAACAGUUCAACAAUAUAAAAUGUUCAAAUACUUAUAAAACAAAAAAUCUCCUAUUUAUUGGAAUUGUCCAGGUCAGAGCAAAGCAUAGAAUUUAAAAAAAAAUAAUUGUCAUUUUACAUGUAUAUACAAUAACUCUUAAAUUGGCUUGAUAUUCGUCACCUAAACAAUUAUUCUCUCAAGGUAAGGUACACAACAAUUUCAAAUAAACUUAUCAUUAAAAGCAUUUUUUAAAAAUCUACACAGAGUUGUAUUAUUUCUAUUGUAAAUCUAUAUAUUGCAAAAUAUGAAACAAAUACAUGUAGGCAUGAGGCUAAAAUGUUUAGAACAGUUUUCCACAUCCAAACGUAAAUUUUGAUGUGUUUUGUAUUUUGCCCAUUUUAGAAAUUGUCUUAUGGAACAUAACUCCUAAUUUCUUUACAUUGGAAAUGCUGUUACCGGUACACUAAAACACACAACCAAGACUUCAUUUUCGAUGUAAUCGCUGAUAACAGAGUCGUGACCAUACUGACAUUAUUAUAUA